rnacentral:rRNA from 1 species
CGUGUAGGUGGCUAAUUAAGUCAGGUGUGAAAUCCUUCCGCUUAACGGAAGAAGUGCACUUGAAACUGCUUAGCUAGAGUACGGGAGAGGAAGGUGGAAUUCCUGGUGUAGAGGUGAAAUUCAUAGAUAUCGGGAAGAACACCGGUGGCGAAGGCGGCCUUCUGGCCCGAUACUGACGCUGAGACGCGAAAGCGUGGGGAGCAAACGG